rnacentral:rRNA from 1 species
GACGAACGCUGGCGGCGUGCCUAAUACAUGCAAGUAGAACGCACAGUUUAUACCGUAGCUUGCUACACCAUAAACUGUGAGUUGCGAACGGGUGAGUAACGCGUAGGUAACCUGCCUGGUAGCGGGGGAUAACUAUUGGAAACGAUAGCUAAUACCGCAUAAUAUUGAUUAUUGCACGAUAAUUGAUUGAAAGAUGCUAUUGCAUCACUACCAGAUGGACCUGCGUUGUAUUAGCUAGUAGGUGAGGUAACGGCUCACCUAGGCGACGAUACAUAGCCGACCUGAGAGGGUGAUCGGCCACACUGGGACUGAGACACGGCCCAGACUCCUACGGGAGGCAGCAGUAGGGAAUCUUCGGCAAUGGACGAAAGUCUGACCGAGCAACGCCGCGUGAGUGAAGAAGGUUUUCGGAUCGUAAAGCUCUGUUGUAAGAGAAGAACGGGUGUGAGAGUGGAAAGUUCACACUGUGACGGUAUCUUACCAGAAAGAGACGGCUAACUACGUG